rnacentral:rRNA from 1 species
CCUACGAGAGGCAGCAGUGAGGAAUAUUGGUCAAUGGGCGCGAGCCUGAACCAGCCAAGUAGCGUGAAGGAUGACUGCCCUACGGGUUGUAAACUUCUUUUAUAAAGGAAUAAAGUGAUGCACGUGUGCCUUUUUGUAUGUACUUUAUGAAUAAGGAUCGGCUAACUCCGUGCCAGCAGCCGCGGUAAUACGGAGGAUCCGAGCGUUAUCCGGAUUUAUUGGGUUUAAAGGGAGCGUAGAUGGGUUGUUAAGUCAGUUGUGAAAGUUUGCGGCUCAACCGUAAAAUUGCAAUUGAUACUGGCAGUCUUGAGUACAGUAGAGGUAGGCGGAAUUCGUGGUGUAGCGGUGAAAUGCUUAGAUAUCACGAAGAACUCCGAUUGCGAAGGCAGCUUACUAAACUGCAACUGACAUUGAGGCUCGAAAGUGUGGGUAUCAAACAGGAUUAGAUACCCGAGUAGUC